AAAGUCCUGUCUCGGAAGGUGAAGCUAGCACCACCGAGUAGUGAGUCUUGCGCUCUCCCGGGUAACUUGGAGGGUGAAGCGUAGACAACGAAACAUUCGAGCCGAAACCAAAUGGUGAACGUGAUAGCCCCGAAAUGGAACCGAUCGUGGAAGCUGACGGAUUUGCGUGUCCGGCAAGCCAUAAAUUCCUGGAGGCCAACCUAG
rfam:Candidatus Regiella insecticola 5.15 Rin_2504559919.70, whole genome shotgun sequence.